rnacentral:rRNA from 1 species
AGACUGCGUUUGAAACUGGUUAUCUUGAGUGUAACAGAGGAGAGUGGAAUUCCUAGUGUAGUGGUGAAAUACGUAGAUAUUAGGAAGAACACCAGUGGCGAAGGCGACUCUCUGGGUUAACACUGACGCUGAGGUACGAAAGCUGGGGGAGCGAACGGGAUUAGAUACCCCGGUAGUCCCAGCCGUAAACGCUGGAUACUAGGUGUUGGAGGUUCGAAUCCUUCAGUGCCGGAGUUAACGCAUUAAGUAUCCCGCCUGGGGAAUACGAUCGCAAGAUUGAAACUCAAAGGAAUUGACGGGGGCCCGCACAAGCGGUGGAGCAUGUGGUUUAAUUCGAAGCAACGCGAAGAACCUUACCGAGAAUUGACAUCCCGUGACCAUCUAUGAAAGUAGA